UGGGCCUACGGGGGGCAGCAGUGAGGAAUAUUGGUCAAUGGGCGGGAGCCUGAACCAGCCAAGUCGCGUGAGGGAAGACGGUCCUAUGGAUUGUAAACCUCUUUAGGCGGGGAGCAAUGCCGGGCACGCGUGCCCGGAGGGAGAGUACCCGCAGAAUAAGCAUCGGCUAACUCCGUGCCAGCAGCCGCGGUAAUACGGAGGAUGCGAGCGUUAUCCGGAUUUAUUGGGUUUAAAGGGUGCGCAGGCGGAAUGUCAAGUCAGCGGUAAAAUUUCGGGGCUCAACCCCGUCGUGCCGUUGAAACUGG
rnacentral:rRNA from 1 species